rnacentral:rRNA from 1 species
AGUGAACGCUGGCGGUAGGCCUAACACAUGCAAGUCGAACGGCAGCACAGUAAGAGCUUGCUCUUACGGGUGGCGAGUGGCGGACGGGUGAGGAAUACAUCGGAAUCUACUUUUUCGUGGGGGAUAACGUAGGGAAACUUACGCUAAUACCGCAUACGACCUACGGGUGAAAGUAGGGGAUCUUCGGACCUUGCGCGAUUGAAUGAGCCGAUGUCGGAUUAGCUAGUUGGCGGGGUAAAGGCCCACCAAGGCGACGAUCCGUAGCUGGUCUGAGGGGAUGAUCAGCCACACUGGAACUGAGACACGGUCCAGACUCCUACGGGAGGCAGCAGUGGGGAAUAUUGGACAAUGGGCGCAAGCCUGAUCCAGCCAUACCGCGUGGGUGAAGAAGGCCUUCGGGUUGUAAAGCUCUUUUGUUGGGAAAGAAAAGCAGCAGGUUAAUACCCCGCUGUUCUGACGGUACCCAAAGAAUAAGCACCGGCUAACUUCGUG